rnacentral:rRNA from 1 species
AUUGAACGCUGGCGGCAGGCCUAACACAUGCAAGUCGAACGAGUGGCGGACGGGUGAGUAAUGUCUGGGAAACUGCCUGAUGGAGGGGGAUAACUACUGGAAACGGUAGCUAAUACCGCAUAACAUCAGAUGUGCCCAGAUGGGAUUAGCUAGUUGGUGGGGUAACGGCGCUCCAAGGCGACGAUCCCUAGCUGGUCUGAGAGGAUGACACGCCACACUGGAACGGGGAGACGUGGCAGACUCCUACGGGGAGCAGCAGUGGGGAAUAUUGCACAAUGGGCGCAAGCCUGAUGCAGCCAGGCCGCGUGUAUGAAGAAGGCCUUCGGGUUGUAAAGUACUUUCAGCGGGGAGGCGUUACCCGCAGAAGAAGCACCGGCGAACUCAGUGCCAGCACCGCCGGUAAUAC